rnacentral:rRNA from 1 species
CACAAUGGCGCAAGCCUGAUGCAGCAACGCCGCGUGCGGGAUGACGGCCUUCGGGUUGUAAACCGCUUUCAGUUCCGACGAAGCGCAAGUGACGGUAGGAACAGAAGAAGGACCGGCCAACUACGUGCCAGCAGCCGCGGUGAUACGUAGGGUCCGAGCGUUGUCCGGAAUUAUUGGGCGUAAAGGGCUUGUAGGCGGUUUGUCGCGUCGGAAGUGAAAACUCAGGGCUUAACCCUGAGCCUGCUUCCGAUACGGGCAAACUAGAGGGAUGCAGGGGAGAAUGGAAUUCCUGGUGGAGCGGUGGAAUGCGCAGAUAUCAGGAGGAACACCGGUGGCGAAGGCGGUUCUCUGGGCAUUUCCUGACGCUGAGAAGCGAAAGCGUGGGGAGCAAACAGGCUUAGAUACCCUGGUAGUCCACGCCGUAAACGGUGGGCACUAGGUGUGGGGAACAUUCCACGUUCUCCGUGCCGAAGCUAACGCAUUAAGUGCCCCGCCUGGGGAGUACGGCCGCAAGGCUA